CUCAUAUGAGAAGGAGGAUAUGAGACCAACACUUUACACAGGCCAAGGCAACACUUUGUCAGUAAUGAUUAUUGGUCAGAAAUAAUACAUGUUUUAUUGUCUUGCAGUAUAUCACACUGUGCACUUGGCACUUAAAUGGAAGUUUUCUUCCAGCUCCUGGUAAGGGAGUACCAGGGCUGGAAAAUAUGACAUUAAAAGUCAGUUUCAGAAGACUGAAAGUGUCACACGGAAUGUAAUUGGUGCAUCUCCUGCUUUUCUUUCUCGAUCCCAGAGAUUUGUACCUAUGAAAUCAAUCACCCCAGCUCCUGGUACAUACAAUGAACCUCGAACUGCUUUCAAGACUUCAAAGAAAACACCAGGAUUGAAAAAUACUCCCUUUGGUCAAAGUGCUGCUCGAUUCACACAGGACUCCAUGGCAGAGGAAAUGCCAGUGCCUCAUGGUUUCCCAAGACCUGGCCAGAUGCUGCAAGGCUUUACCUGACCCAACCAAAGAACACCCAGAACAUGCCUUCUGCCCAUUGGUCACUCAAGGAUGCAUGUAUCAAAGAGAAAGACAUGAAACUUCACCCUCAAUGACAAGGGAUCGAAUCAGGACUUUACACUUGCGAGGCAGACGGCGGAUCCACUGAGCUAAAUCCCCGGCCCACCUCUGGUUCAUUUUUAUACUAGACGGAAAAGGAAUAUUUAUGGUAUAGACAAAGAACAUAAAGAUUUGCAAGCAUUCCAUUACCCUAUUUUGUUUUUUGAUAAAGUUGACAGAUUUCAGGAUAGAUCUAUCCUAAAGGAUAGAUAGAUAGAUAGAUAGAUAGAGAUAAUUCCAGAUUGGAAUCACAGGUAUUCCUUGUUUAACAACCUACCUAGUUAACAACUGCUCAAACUUACGACCUGGGUAUACUGUUCAGUGUUAUACCGCUCAUCGGAUUUAUCACCCGUCUUUUUUUUUUCUUGUCCACUUCUGUACAUCUUGUUUCUAGAGCUUCAUAGUUUUUUUUUGUACAGUACACCUUGUCUACACAGUAUGAUGUUUUGCUAAUUGUACUGUACAGUCCUGUAGUUUUAUGUUCUGUUAUACGUUACAAUACUGCAUGAAAGAGUUAUGCAAAAUCAUCAAGUUGGAGUUUGCUUUGGCCAUUUCUUUGUUCUGAUACUGUAAUGUACAUACUGUAUACAAUUUCUCAUUUAGCGGCCAAUUCACUUAACGACCUAGUCACGACUUGGUCCUGAACAAGAAAUGUCUUUAAUUAAAACUCUGAAAGAACAAUAAAUUUAAUGAUAUAACAAUACUUCAUUUAAAUAAAAAACAAUAAACUUAAUUACUGUACCACAGAAAUAUAUGAGGUAAGAGACUAUCACAUCUGUCUUUUUCUCUAGAUCAUCCACCCCUUGGUGCUGGCUGUCUAGCACAUAGUGGUAGCCUCAUUAUUCAUCUUCCCAUUCUCAUGGCAAACUACUGUCAUGCUCCUCACUACCAGAAGUCAUCUAGAUUAUUUACAAGUGUCUCAGAUAUUUACUAGCAUCUAAAAUUUUUUCUACCAACAUGCUUACAACAUUCUAUCAUAAUCUGUGUACAAUAAAAUACAGAGGUAUAGUCACAGAUUUUGGAAUCAUGUAAAUGUAAGUUCAAGUUUCAGCUCUGUCAUUUACUAACUGUAAAAUAGUGAGCAAAUUAUUUCACAACAGUGAUUCCCAUUUUGCACAUUAAAAAAAGAACUUUUAAAAGGUGAUUAGGAAAAUUAAGUAAGAAAAUAUGACUAGUGUCAAAAUUAUUCAUCCGUUGAGCUUCAUAGCCUCACCUGUCUCCUCUAACCAUAAACAUUUGCAUAUCACCUGCUUAGCUUAAUCUCCCAGCUGCAAAAGGAAACUAGCUACAUUCUCAGGAGAGAGUAUUUGUUAAGGAUAUUACAGGGUCUCUAUCACAUGACUGAUAAGGAAGAUGUUGGUGGAAGUAUUAGAAAAUACUUCUGGGAGUAGCAGGAUAAGUGGAAUUUAAAAACUGUAAUGGACUAUUCAUUUGGAACUAUUUGGAACAAAGAGAAUCACAAGAAAGAAUCAAAAUACUAUUUUGGACUACCACUUUGACUAAAACAAGACAUUGGCAUAUUUUCUAGUCAAAAUGUAAAUUUCAUUUAACAUAAAAAAUACAAAAUAAAGUGACAGGUAAAAUGCAAGUUUAGUUUUUUUAAUUUUAAAAUAAAUCCAUGGAUAGGCAUACAGGGCCAAGAUGCAUCAUAGUAAGGAUCUUGAUUCAAAUAGGCCUGAGGUCCUUCCAUGAGGUGCUUAUCCUCAUUGUCCAUAAAAUGAAAGUCACUCCUCCAUUUGCAAGAAACUUCUUAGAGUACAGAAAGUCAGAAGCACAUAAAGAAAUAACUUAUUAAACAAAAGAGAAAACCAGACUUUAUUUCCAUUUUUUCCAUUUCUCAUCAUUUUUCCUUUCCCU